rnacentral:rRNA from 1 species
CAGCCGCCACGGUAAUACGAAGGGGGCUAGCGUUGUUCGGAAUUACUGGGCGUAAAGCGCACGUAGGCGGAUAUUUAAGUCAGGGGUGAAAUCCCAGAGCUGAACUCUGGAACUGCCUUCGAUACUGGGUAUCUUGAGUAUGGAAGAGGUGAGUGGAAUUCCGAGUGUAGAGGUGAAAUUCGUAGAUAUUCGGAGGAACACCAGUGGCGAAGGCGGCUCACUGGUCCAUUACUGACGCUGAGGUGCGAAAGCGUGGGGAGCAAACAGGAUUAGAUACCCGGGUAGUCCCUGUCUCUUAUAC